UGUGCCAGCAGCCGCGGUAAUUCCAGCUCCAAUAGCGUAUAUUAAAGUUGUUGCAGUUAAAAAGCUCGUAGUUGAACCUUGGGCCUGGCUAGCCGGUCCGCCUCACCGCGUGUACUGGUCCGGCUGGGCCUUUCCUUCUGGGGAUCCGCAUGCCCUUCACUGGGUGUGUCGGGGAACCAGGACUUUUACUGCGAAAAAAUUAGAGUGUUCAAAGCAGGCCUUCGCUCGAAUACAUUAGCAUGGAAUAAUAGAAUAGGACGUUGCGGUUCUAUUUUGUUGGUUUCUAGGACCGCCGUAAUGAUUAAUAGGGAUAGUCGGGGGCAUCAGUAUUCAAUUGUCAGAGGUGAAAUUCUUGGAUUUAUUGAAGACUAACUACUGCGAAAGCAUUUGCCAAGGAUGUUUUCAUUAAUCAGGAACGAAAGUUAGGGGAUCGAAGACGAUCAGAUACCGUCGUAGUCUUAACCAUAAACUAUGCCGACUAGGGAUCGGGCGAUGUUAUCAUUUUGACUCGCUCGGCACCUUACGAGAAAUCAUAAGUUUUUGGGUUCUGGGGGGAGUAUGGUCGCAAGGCUGAAACUUAAAGAAAUUGGCGGAAGGGCACCACCAGGCGUGGAGCCUGCGGCUUAAUUUGACUCAACACGGGGAAACUCACCAGGUCCAGACACAAUAAGGAUUGACAGAUUGAGAGCUCUUUCUUGAUUUUGUGGGUGGUGGUGCAUGGCCGUUCUUAGUUGGUGGAGUGAUUUGUCUGCUUAAUUGCGAUAACGAACGAGACCUUAACCUACUAAAUAGCCCGGCCCGCUUUUGCGGGUCGUG
rnacentral:rRNA from 1 species